rnacentral:piRNA from 1 species
CUAUCCAACCCAGAUGGG